rnacentral:rRNA from 1 species
UGAGGAAUAUUGCGCAAUGGGCGAAAGCCUGACGCAGCAACGCCGCGUGAGGGAUGAAAUAUUUCGGUAUGUAAACCUCGCAAAUAUGGGAAGAACACAAUGACGGUACCAUAUGUAAGCCACGGCUAACUUCGUGCCAGCAGCCGCGGUAAUACGAAGGUGGCAAGCGUUGUUCGGAAUUACUGGGCGUAAAGCGCGUGUAGGCGGCUCUUCAAGUCAGACGUGAAAGCCCCAGGCUCAACCUGGGAACUGCGUUUGAUACUGUCGAGCUAGAGUGUGGAAGGGGCAAUCGGAAUUCCGUGUGUAGCGGUGAAAUGCGUAGAUAUACGGAGGAACACCAGAGGCGAAGGCGGAUUGCUGGGCCAACACUGACGCUGAGACGCGAAAGCCAGGGUAGCAAACGGGAUUAGAUACCCUCGUAGUCCCUGAGCGGGCUGGCAAGGCGCAU